rnacentral:lncRNA from 1 species
GAGAAGCAGCAGGAGUGAAGCACAGAAAGUUGUCAUAAGACUUUCAUAGAAAUCUACAAAAAUGGUGCUAGGGCUUUGGGACUGGUGAGAUCACCUGGAAGAGGCUGUGUGAAAAGAAGCAAAGACCAUGUAAGGGCUCUGGCUGGCUGGAGACACAGUCACCCUGCAGUCUGGUGUCCUUUAGGGAAUCCCUGCGAUUUCUAUGGAAACAGGUGCCACAAUUGGAGUAAGUGAUCUAGGCUACAUCCAUUGGCACUUUACAUUCCCCUGGUGACAAUGACUAAUUCAGGGGUUGCCAGGUGACCUAAAUGAGCCCAACAAAGUGAAUUUUAAGUCUUUUGUUAGAAAUGAGGAAGCAUGUGAACUGGGAGCUGCCCUAUGAGGGACUGACAAUAGAGAAGGAAGAGCAGGGAAGCUAGGGAACCCACUCUCGGGGACAACCUUGGCCAGAUUCAACCUUCACAUCUGCACUGCCUGUGGGCUUUUUCAAGUGUGCAACCAGUAAAGACCCACUAUUGUUUAAGCCAGUUGGAAUUGGCCUUUCUCUCACCUGUUAAUGAAAAUAUUCUCAUUGAAUCACUCUCAGAUUGUUAGUUCCUUAAAGGC